rnacentral:rRNA from 1 species
GUCCACGCCCUAAACGAUGUUCGUUCGCUAUUUCUAGUAUCGACCCUCGGAGUGGCUUAGCUAACGCGUUAAACGAACCGCCUGGGAAGUACGAGCGCAAGCUUAAAAACUCAAAGGAAUAGACGGGGACUCGCACAAGCGGUGGAACAUGAGGUUUAAUUCGUCGGUAAGCGAAGAACCUUACCAGGGUUAGAAAUCUUUGUUGCAAGCCGGCCGAAAGGUUGGCCCUCUCUCAAGGACAACAAGGACAGGUGCUGCAUGGUUGUCGU